GCAAAGACUGUCACACUCAUCUGAUUUAGGACUGUGAACCUGGAUUCCCAUGGAGGUUUCAAAAGCACGAGGAUAGGACAGGGCUGCAGUCUACUCAUCUCAGAAGCUGCAGAGAAUGCAUAUCAUCUGGUCAAGAAGUAUUUCUGAAUGCAGUGCAAAGGAGAGGAUUUCACAGCAAAAUAAAAACAAGCCAAAAAGCUGACUAGAAAUCUGUAUUCUAAGAAAACUACAAAAUACUCCUAAGAGGUACAUUAGGGAGGAAAACUUUCCCUUUGAGUGUCUGGAGAUGACAUUGUGGCUUUAAAGAAAAUGAACUGGAAUCUAGGAAAAAUCUCAGUACGUUAUGUCACACAACCCAGGUAUAAAGAAACUGAUAAUUA